CCCUGCCUCUGCUUCCUGUGAAAAUCUGCUCCAAUUCUGAGGAGUUUUGUUGGCAACUGAACGUGCUGUGUGUGUGUGUGUUUGGGGAUUUGCUAAUUAAUUUGUAUGUUUACGUCGUUUGCAUGGGGUGAGAAAUAAAUCAAGAGAAAUCCUGCAUUAUUUGACACGAGAGGAGAGGAAGCUAAGGCCUAUUGUUUCAGUGUUUUUUGUUUUCGUCUACAUUUACAUAUUUCUACAAGUGUGGCCUUUUUUUUUUUUCGUGUGUCUUUACAGCGCAGCGGAUUUAGUUUGAUGUUCUAAGUUUGUAAAGUGUUAGACAUUUUGAUCCGCAUUGAGCAAAUGCAGAAAAGAACAAAUUAAGUGUAUAAUUAAUCAUGAGAUCUUGUGUUUUGUCUGUGUUUGUAUAUUCCUUACAAAGGGCUCCUUUUUUAUAGUUGUGGAAAAUAUUUCAAGUUUAAUGUAAUAAUCUGUUAACUGCAUUAAAAGACAGAAUUAAGUUUUUAAGAUUAUAGCAGCAAAUAAAGUGAAAAGGAAGAAGGUGAAAAUUUACAGUACUAUGGCUGAAAAGCAGUUUGUAUUGCCUAAAAUGAUAUGUGUAAAGAAAGAUUAUAACACGAAGGCAGGAAACUGUCUUCAGAAAAACAUAUCCUGGUUGGAUACAGUCAAGUAGCUUUAUCAGAGGGCAAGAGAGGACAAGGUCGUUGUGUCUUGGCCCAGUCAGAAAACUGCUACUAUUUAGCCAUAAUCCUAUUCUGACACACACAGACAUAUUGUCCGAUAGACCGAUGACAAUGACUGAUGAGGUCACAUUUCUUCUCUUUCUCAUGUUUUCCUCACGAUCCUUUAAGCCGUUCCACUAGCCGAGGGGAGUUUUAUAUUAGAUCUGCUGACAGAAAAACUGAUUUGCCCCACAAGAGCCGUCGACGCCACGUUUAUGCCACAGACCAUGUGCACAAUCACACACGGCAGCACCCAAAAGAGCUCACAUGACUGACUGAGUUUGGCCUCUGUGUUUCCAAAACAUGUGGGAAUUGUGCAGGGAAUGGGAUGCCAAUUUUUGCAAUUAACCCAAAUGCACAGAGAUCCUCACAAGCAUUUAAUGUUAAAAUCUUUUUCUUUUUUUUUUUUUUUUUUGCUUUAAUUCUUGGCCAUAUGUCGUCUUUAAUCCCCACAUGUCUUUAGUACACUGUGUCGUAUCACUGUUAGUUUGUCUCUUUCGUCCUCCAAACACAGCUCCAGUCAGAGGACAUUUCUUGGCAACCAAACACAGCUUGUAGAUCUGUCACUGACAUGUUGGCAGAGUUGGGCAUCAUGCCAACACAGUCCCCCCCCCCCCCCCCCCCCCCCCCCCCCUCCCCUCCCUCUGUCUGUCUGGUCCUCUGUGAUCAGACUAGCAGGGUCUGCUGCAUGCUAACCAUAGGCUGGUCUGGACGAGUCUCUGGGGUUGUGCCUGUAUGCUAAUUUAUGCAAGGAGUGUACCUCCGAGCCCCUUCUCUGUCUAUCUGAGGCCCAGGUCUGGCAGUUAGUCUGGCACUCAUUAACCCUUUACUCUCUGCCAUGUUAACCUGAUGCCUCACCCAAACCUUUAUGGCAUGACUUUUAACAGUUAGCUGUAUAAAGAAGAGCAAGGUCUUUUUUUUUUUUUCACAAGUGCAAGAGACAAAUAAGCUCCACAUUGAUGGCCUCAUAAAGAUGUAUUCUGGCAUUUAUUUUGAAAUUGACAAGCAGAGAUGCAGACAUGCCGGGAGGAAGAGGGGGCGGCAUGCAAUAAAGAUCAGCCAGAAUUAAUCUUGGGAUGUUGUAUUUAUGGCGUGUGUCUAAAUCACUAGACUACCAGACACUGUCAUUGGGAAAAACCAGCAGAAUGGGUACGCUGCAUGUGAUAAGGCAUUUUUCCUGAAGUUUCCAACAGCCUGAUAAGUUAUAUUAGAGUUUCUGUCUCACUUAGCACUCGUGAUAGAGUGUGCUGUCUGGAACUGUUGGCUGUGUCUCACUGCUUGGCACAAGACUGAUUAUCCAUCACUCCAUAGAAAAGUCACUCUUUCUUCAUCAAGAGAUAGUGGGCUUGUAAAAAAAAAAAAAAAAAAAAACCUGGAAAGUAGAUGUUAGAAUGUUUUUAAGACCUAAAAUGGCCGAUGUGCGAGACGCCAUUUUGUGUUUCCUUGUUUUGUUUUGGGGGGCAGAAUCCCAGCCUUGUAUUCAAUCAGAGGCAGCUGGUGGUAGCCAUAUUUGCAGGCAUCUGUGUGUGGACCUCCGUCUGAGAAGCAGCAGCCAGCCUACACAGGGAUAGCCCACUGGAAUGAGAUCAGUUUUUGGCAAAAACGGAAACGAAUUCCUGGCACAGAGGCGAGCAGCUUUUUUCUCUUUCGAUCACAUGCCAGAGUCUCAGGAAGCCUGAAUGGGAUUCUAAAAGACUGUCAGCACUGCAACA